UGCUCCGCCUCUUCCUCGACCUCUCACGCUCGCUCGCGACCCUCAGCCGUGGCUAGGGUUUCGGGCUGGGCAUCGCCUUCGUCGCCGGCGUGGCUCCAGCGGACUCCGGCGGCUCCUCUCCGUCUCCUCCCUCGCCCCCCACACAUUUGGUGCAGCAGCCGCUGUGGAUCAAGUUCUUGGUGGAGAUGCAACGGAUGCUCAAAAUGAUUCAUCAGGGAGGACCCCCGCCAGUAGAGGGAUGGCUCCUGUCCAAGAAAGGCCAUCCAUGGGUUAUGGCAGGAGACCCGGAGAAGAACAAGCAAUUUUAUCUAAAAAUAGAAGAGCUAGCACCAAAGAGCCCCAGCCCACCUCCAAGAUCAAAUUCUAUAUAAUUCAUGAAUAGUGGUUGUCGACACAUCUUCUAACAAAGUCACCUCCAAUGAUCCUUCUGUCGACAAGCAGCUAGACCCAAGUCUCCAGAAAAAGCAUGGCCGCCGGCACAAAAUGGACGAAGAAGAGGUGAGCUGCCGCGACAUCGAAGCUCUCGCACCGCUGCUCCCGUCGAGCUCGCGCGUGCAACGGAUCUGAUGGCCAACACAGCCCGUCUGUCCGCCGGCACCUCCAAGCAAGGCCUACAACAGCAGAACUGUUUGGGAGAUCAAGCAGAAAAUUGUUGGCUGUCGAUCGUGGCUGCUACAUGGAUCAAAGCCAGAGCCUUAAUAUCAACAUGGAUCUGUAUAACUUCAUUGCACUUCCACGCCUGGUCCAUGGUUUGCCUGUCAAUUUAGAUACUGUUCUAGCACUCUGUGAUUUUACUGAAAAUUUAGCAGUCAGUGUUGAACAGGUCGUUACAUCCCCACGCUUGAACAAGUCACAUGACAAGGCGUUCAAUCAAAGCUCUCUCUAUAUGUGGUCUACUAUAAAAUAUAUUACUUUACCGUAGUAGAAUCAAAUAGAUUGGUUAUCCUGUGUUAUCAUUAUGCCCUGCUUUUAGUAUAUUGUAAAUCUUGCUUUGUACCGAAUCUUUAUGCAAAUCGAUUAUCCUGGGCUACCACUAUGCCAUUCUCUUGGAAUGUAAUGAAUCUUGGUGCAAAUCAGUUAUCCUGUCAAAUCUUGAUGCUUUUUUACUUAACCACUAUUAUUAUAAAUAUGCAUUCUGUUGAACCAGCUCCUUCUAUGGGAGACGCUUUACCAUUGCCUUACACAGGCACUACACGUUGCGCUUUCUGAUGUAAAUCACUUCCUGGACAGGCGACACGCAUCCUGAUGCAAAUCAGUUCCUGGACAACCAACUUGAGAUCAAUUAUCCGGACAUAUACUCUGUCGGAUUGCAUCUAUGUUCUAAAAUCUUAUCCAGACCUGAUCAAUAUGUGAAAAUUUAGUGAGGGGUGCCCCUGGUUACUCACGUCGCUCCAGGUUCACAUUGUAUUGACUUGCAGCGCCAGCCUGCCAUUUGGCUUGCAGCCCUGGUCGUUGCAAGUUAGCCUUACAUAGGUAUAAGGGUUUUAGUACUUCAGUAAUGUAACAAAGUGAAGAGAAAACUGCUGCAUCGAAUUACUAAUGGAGUGGUUUCGAUGAGAACUGAUAAAGAAUAUAUUUCAUGACUGAGACAUUGAUAUGAAAUUUGAGUAUUUAAUAGAGAAGUCCAAUUCAUAUAUGAAGAAAAAGAAAGGCAUUAUGUACUACAUUGACAGUGAUUGUUAGCCCAUUAUGGUACUUCAAAUCGGAUAAAGAAUAUAUUUCCUGACCGAGACAUGGGAUUUAGAGUCUCAGUUCUGAUAUGUACAUAAAUCUCCUUUUAUUUUGUCAUGCUACUGAUAGUUUUGAUAUGGGACUAUUUGUUUUGUUUAUGUCUUAUAAAUAAUGAAAUGGCAUAUAUGUUAAGUUCUCCUAUUUUAA